AGUGAGGCCAGCUGCGGUGAAGAGGGUGCCUUCUUGCCUGGAGUUCCCUCUGCUACGGCUGCCCCCUCCCAGCCCUGGCCCACUGAGCCAGACCCAGCUGUCCCCAUUCCCACUUCUGGUCCUGCCACCUCCUGAGCCACCUUCUCACCUGGUCUGGGUAGAGUAAUGGCCUCGAGCACAGGUGACCAGAGCCAGAUGGUGAAAAACGGACUGAGAACGAAGGUGCUGACGCUGGACAGCAUGAACCCACGUGUGCAGAGGGUGGAGUACGCGGUGCGUGGCCCCAUAGUGCAGCGAGCCUUGGAGCUGGAGCAGGAGCUGCGCCAGGGUGUGAAGAAGCCUUUCACCGAGGUCAUCCGUGCCAACAUUGGGGACGCACAGGCUAUGGGGCAGAGGCCCAUCACCUUCCUGCGCCAGGUGAGGCUCCUGCACUGCCCGCUGCACCCGCCCACCCCCAGCCCAUGUGCCCUGGCCUCAGCACUCCGUCUUCCCAGGUCUUGGCCCUCUGUGUUAACCCUGAUCUUCUGAGCAGCCCCAACUUCCCUGAGGAUGCCAAGAAAAGGGCGGAGCGCAUCCUGCAGGCGUGUGGGGGCCACAGUCUGGGUGAGAGCCAGGGCCAGGAGGAAGCAGAGGGCCGCCCUGCCACUGGAGGAGGGAAGUCCCUUGGGAGGGCUGAGGAGAACUUCACCUGUACCUCCCAUCCUGUGCUGCCCGAGUCCAGGGGCCUACAGCGUCAGCUCCGGCAUCCAGCUAAUCCGGGAAGACGUGGCGCGGUACAUUGAGAGGCGUGAUGGAGGCAUCCCUGCGGACCCCAACAACGUCUUCCUGUCCACAGGGGCCAGCGAUGCCAUCGUGACGGUGCUGAAGCUGCUGGUGGCCGGCGAGGGCUACACGCGCACGGGUGUGCUCAUCCCCAUCCCCCAGUACCCACUCUACUCGGCCACGCUGGCAGAGCUGGGCGCAGUGCAGGUGGAUUACUACCUAGACGAGGAGCGCGCCUGGGCGCUAGACGUGGCGGAGCUUCACCGUGCGCUGUGCCAGGCGCGUGACCACUGCCGCCCUCGUGCGCUCUGUGUCAUCAACCCCGGCAACCCCACCGGGCAGGUGCAGACCCGCGAGUGCAUCGAGGCCGUGAUCCGCUUCGCCUUCGAAGAGCGGCUCUUUCUGCUGGCGGACGAGGUGCGCGGCGCGGGGGAGCGGGAAGCCGGGCAACAGUCCGCCCCCGUGACGCCUUGCGCCCUUCCAGGUGUACCAGGACAACGUGUACGCCGCGGGCUCGCAGUUCCACUCAUUCAAGAAGGUGCUCAUGGAGAUGGGGCCGCCCUACGCCGGGCAGCAGGAGCUUGCCUCCUUCCACUCCACCUCCAAGGGCUACAU
rnacentral:sRNA from 1 species